rnacentral:rRNA from 1 species
UACGGAGGGGGCGAGCGUUAUUCGGAAUUAUUGGGCGUAAAGGGCGCGUAGGCGGCCCGGUAAGUCAAAGGUGAAAUCCCUCGGCUCAACUGAGGAACUGCCUUUGAAACUGUCGGGCUUGAGGCCGGGAGGGGUAGCGGAAUUCCUGGUGUAGCGGUGAAAUGCGCAGAUAUCAGGAGGAACACCGGUGGCGAAGGCGGGUCUCUGGGCAAUGAACUGACGCUGGAGGAGCGAAAGCGUGGGGAGCGAACAGG